UACGCAGGGGGCUAGCGUUGCUCGGAAUUACUGGGCGUAAAGCGCACGUAGGCGGAUUGUUAAGUCGGGGGUGAAAUCCUGGAGCUCAACUCCAGAACUGCCUUCGAUACUGGCGAUCUCGAGUUCGGGAGAGGUGAGUGGAACUGCGAGUGUAGAGGUGAAAUUCGUAGAUAUUCGCAAGAACACCAGUGGCGAAGGCGGCUCACUGGCCCGAUACUGACGCUGAGGUGCGAAAGCGUGGGGAGCAAACAGG
rnacentral:rRNA from 1 species